UCACUUUGUUCUGGGGAGAAAAUCACUGAGGACAGGGGAGAAUGAACAUCGACCAUCUACUUCCCAGCAUUAUUCGUUCUCUUUGAAUAAACCAAUUUUUCUCCCCCUGAUUUGCUCUGGGGUCUGUGUUAUUGAAGAGUAACAUCAACUGCUAACACUUGGUGCCGUGACUCGGAUSAAUUGGUCUUGAACAACAACAAGGAAAAACRGAUCAACUGUGYGUUGAUCCAGGGAAAAGAGAGAGAGGGCUGAGCGCAACCCACCACUCUCCCGAUUGACUGCUAACAUAUUGCUGGGUUAUGAGAAUCUACCAUCUGAAGCUAUAGCAAUAUCCCUUGACCCAAGGCCUGUACCUGAAAUGAUACAUGAUCACCUGUGAAGUGUUCAUUAGAGAAGUCCUUAUCAACAGUGGAACGGAAGAAGAAUUCCUCACUACUGGCAGACUGUCAGUCACUAAUUUCUAAUAGUUUCCUGUGGGACUGAUACCAGUGGAAGAGCUGGUCACUUUUAAAGAACUUGGUGAAUGAUUAACUUGCCAAUAGGACAAUUGAAUAUUAUUGUCUUGCAGACAAUAAUGUUUUUGUGAGUUUCCUCCAAAUACAGGACACGGUAGGAAUCGUCAGGGACAUCAUCAUUACAACUAUUAAUACUUAUUUCUAUAACUUUGUUUGAAAUCUAUUUAUUAUUGCAACAGCAACUUCCUGGUUCGAAUCAACCCAAGAUGAUGAACCCUGAAGCCAACUGUAUUCGAGCCCUACAUUUCCCCAUUCUUCCAAGAGCUCACUGAGUUUGAAUGAAGACCUGUGUGAGAGCAACAGCCCUGGUGUGCUCUGUCUCUCAAGAGCUGACAAAUCAGAACUGAGGAGGAUUGUUACGGAUGCUCUCCUGCGUAAAUUUAUAAGAAUAUAAAGACACCAAAACUAAUGGAAUAGAGACUCUCCAGCUGCAGUGGAGACUUUCGACCCAGUGUUCCUUGGUCAGUGGCCAGGUCUCGGGCUCCUCCAACCCUGUAGACAUGACACAGAUCGAUGGUGCUCUCCCAUCAGUGUCUCUGGCUGCCAGAUUGCCAGUGGGUCUCCAGUCUCCUGACAUUCAUCAGUGUCUCUCAGUCAGAUGCUCCCACAGCAGUGGUCUAACCCCGGCAUGGAGCACAGUCUGCCCAGCCCCAGAAGCCMAGCCCCAGCCUACCCCCUCCAUGGGCUGAGAGGACAGGUCUCUAAUGAUGGCACCGAGCAGGGGAUUGCCUGGAAGGAGAGACAGAAAAUGUGGUCAAAUGUGACCAAUAUGGCACUGGUUCAACCACACAGCUGUAUGUCUUGUUGUUCCAUCGCUUGGUGUGGUGAAUGCAUUUCACAGACAACUAUUAGAGGGUUAAACGUGGGCAGCAUAGUGUAAAUAUGCAAAGUGAGUGUUUUUUUUAGAAAGUGUUGUGCAAUGUAGUAUGGUCUCAUUGAGUGUGUCAGCCCCUUUGGAAGGAGUCUUAUAAUAAUCUGAGGGACAUGUAUGUUUUUGUAUUCAUUGUGCAGAGCAAUUAAUAUCUUGUGCCUUCAUACUCCCAACAGGCAUGCAAAGAAUUUAGGCAAGAAUUUUUUUUUUAUCCAUUUCAUGCAUAUUUAAGCCUCCCUUUCUUUGUCUACAGCCACCUCUGGAUAACACAGAGAAACAUGGCCGGCAAAUGCAACAUGACUAAUACCAAACUCGUUCCUCAUGGCCUUACAAACCCUAACACCUGAGCUAAUGUCCUUAUGGUGUCAUGUCAUUUCAUGUGCAUCCUCUUCCACCUCUAUCCAUUCACGUACUGCAGGGAAUAAAAAGGAGAAGGAAAGCCAAGCACUCGUGCCCCACUAACUGAUUUCCACCGAUUCCCCAGGGGGUGAUAAAGUGCACUUUUAAGCUAUCCGCAGAAGCUUGUCCCUUAACCGCCGAGGAAUUCACAACGGUGGCGGUAGUGAACGUCUUUCUAAUGGACCCAAUGCGGGCACCGAUAGUCUCCCAAACAAGCCCCACGGCACCACCAAAUGGGCCCUGUGCACUACUGRAGAGGGAAAUAAAUGUCACAAAAAUGUAAUUCCACCUCUCACGUAAAGGGCUCUUCUGGCUCGCACUCUCAUUUGACGAUACCUACUAGUGCUAUUUGUAGAGGCGUAGCAUCUCAGGAGUUCUCCCCAUAAAAAACGCYAGCUCCAAACAUGUUGGUGUUGUAUCGUAUCAACAUUCAUGGUAUGCAGUUAAUUUGGGAAUACAACCGUACACACUAGUGGUAAAGCUCCAAAGGCCUUACCUACUACACUUAAAAGACAAUGGUUCGACAACCAAAGUAGCAAUUGCUGCACAAGGCUUCUUCCCCCUCCCAUUCUAUGCAAUCAAGCGGAAGCUUACCCAGGUCUUGAUAACACCAGCACCAACUAAUCUACAAUUAUAAAAAACACAGAGAGUUAGUAGGAGACAGCACACUCCAAACUGUGGAAACCAGUAUUUCCACCUUAGCAUCAAGCAACUUAACAGGACCAGGGGAAAAAUGAGAUAUGUAUGUGGUUCAAAUUGAUUUCAUUCAUUCUAUGAAUAUCAAGGUUUUAUUCUUGUAACAUUUUUCCUCCACUCCUCAUGCUCGAACGUAUUCACAGGGAUUGCUGUUCCUACCAGAUAAACAGUUUUUUUGUUUAUUGCAAUUAUUGCCUGAGGAUUGUUUCCAAUGUGACUGGACUGUCAAUGAGGAGGGGAUGGGAAGGCAGGCGGGAGGGAGGGAGACGUGACAAGAGGGAAUUCAUACCAGCAGCCAGAAUGCAUGCUGCUGCUCCGGGGUAUAGUCUAGCAGAGAUAUGUUUGCUGCAUAUGGACUGCAUAUGGCCUGUAAAAAAAUGGAAUAUUGCUUUUGUACUACCCUAGAGARGAACAGGACAGGCUGUUUAAUAUUGUACGGUUCUGCUUUUCUUUUUUUUAGUCAACCUUGUGUUCUUUUUCUUUGUGUUCUUGAACGUGGCCCUGUUUCUUUGUGUUAUGGAACGUAGCCCUGUCUUUCACCUGUGUUUGUUUCUCACCUGGUUUCAUCAGCUCCCUAUUUAGUUCAGUUCUUUCUGUUUGUAUGGUUGCGAGGUAUUGUUUGUUUUUGGCUGCCUGCCUGUGUUUGUCCAUUGCCUGCCUGUGACCAUGAUUCCUGCCUUCUGCGAAAGCUCAAUAAACAUCUGCUGCGCCCAGCGCGUGAAUCUACA